rnacentral:snRNA from 1 species
GUGCUUGUUUUGGCAGAACAUAUACUAAAAUUGGAACGAUACAGAGAAGAUUAGCAUGGCCCCCACGCAAGGAUGACAGGCAAAUUCAUGAAGCGUUUCAUAAAAAG